rnacentral:rRNA from 1 species
GAUGAACGCUGGCGGCGUGCCUAAUACAUGCAAGUCGAGCGAACGGACGAGAAGCUUGCUUCUCUGAUGUUAGCGGCGGACGGGUGAGUAACACGUGGAUAACCUACCUAUAAGACUGGGAUAACUUCGGGAAACCGUAGCUAAUACCGGAUAAUAUUUUGAACCGCAUGGUUCAAAAGUGAAAGACGGUCUUGCUGUCACUUAUAGAUGGAUCCGCGCUGCAUUAGCUAGUUGGUAAGGUAACGGCUUACCAAGGCAACGAUGCAUAGCCGACCUGAGAGGGUGAUCGGCCACACGGGAACUUAGACACGGUCCAGACUCCUACGGGAGGCAGCAGUAGGGAAUCUUCCGCAAUGGGCGAAAGCCUGACGGAGCAACGCCGCGUGAGUGAUGAAGGUCUUCGGAUCGUAAAACUCUGUUAUUAGGGAAGAACAUAUGUGUAAGUAACUGUGCACAUCUUGACGGUACCUAAUCAGAAAGCCACGGCUAACUACGUG